rnacentral:misc_RNA from 1 species
GUAAUUAUAUGCUUAAUACAGUUUUUUUUCAGUGAAUAAUAUAAAAUUAUAAAAUGAUUUUCUUGUAAAAAAAUUUAGACACAUUACUAAGAAAAACGUCUUGCUCAAUAAGACUAUGUAUGACAAUUGUUGCGAAUAUACUAUAUAGUUUCCAUCAUUGAGGUUUAGACAAAUAUAUUUAUACACAACGAUUAAGCCCCCAAACUAGUUGAGGUUGGUUAUAUGGAUUUUUUUUUGGUCAUUCUACUUUGUUUUGUCCAUCUUACUUCUACUUAGUCUAAAAUUUUUACUCUCACAUGUUCUUCACAACUCUAACUUUUGAUUAACUUCUUCACUAGUUUCAUCUACCAGGAUUUUCAGUUUUUUUAUUAGCAAGAAAGAAACUCUUAACACCAUAAUAUUCUUAUUACCACUUUUUUUUUUUUAAUAUUCUUUUUUAUUUUCUUGUCAAAUUUCAAAUUAGAUUCAGUUUUUUUUUUUUUUUUUUU